CCUGCUCAGUAUCUUGUGUUUUCACCGACUCGUCAGUCCCAGCAGUCUCCUGUGCAGGGUGUCUAGUCUCUGCGUGAACCCAGGUGAAAAGGAGCUGUUUCUUUCGGUGCCUGUGUGGUUAGGAGACCGUCUGGGCUUCCAGGCGUCUGAAGGACGAACCAUUCCAGGGUGAUUUCAGAGCGUCCCGACCCUAAAACGGGCCCAAACACCACAGACGCUCAGGAAACACAAGCUGGCCUUUAUUGUGUUGUUAUGUUCAGUUUAGUCUGUGGCGUCUUUGUGUUGUCUCUGAAAUCGAGUUGGAAAAAAAAACCCAAAAGCCUUUUUGCGAGUUCAACAUGUGCUACAGCCUCGCGAGGAUCAAAAGAUAUUGAAAUAGCUGUAAACACCCAGAACUAGACAAACAGCACUAAAAGACUUCAUCCCAAAUUACCCAUUCAGUCGGACUGCGUGUUAUCGAUAACGUAUGAGCUAUUUUGUGCAGAAAACACAGAUUGGAGGUAGUAAAUGUAAUUUCCCAGCGUGCACUGUGUCGGAAUAGAAAUGUUGCGCUAACGUCUAAAAUGUCAGUUUGACUGUCAUCCAUUCAGCGGCGCCUGCUGAGUGGCGAACACCUGCAGCGCCAGCGGAGACGCAUGAAAGCUGGUGAGCGAUACAAAUUCAAAUGGGAGACGCAACAGUGGCGCACGCCGCGUUUGUAUGCAGAGCUAUUUGUGGAAGGCAGAUAAGCAGCAACAUGAAUGCAGGAGAUGUUUGUGAAGAUGGGGAGGGAGCGGUAAUUAUGAUGCAGAGACUCGCACACACACACACACACACACACACACACACACACACACACACACACACACACACGGCCGGUCGGUCUCCGACGCUGAAUUGGACGGCUGCAGAUGUGAAGAGCCUCCGCAGGUCGGCUAUCUGAGAAAAGCUUCCUCGUUCCGUUUGGAGCCGCGAUUUGAAGCUCGCUGGGGCUUUAAUGAGUCAGACACAAGAGAGAGGACAGUAAAAGCUGCUGAGUCAUCGUGAAGACGAAGUGAUGAGUCUAGAGUUAAAGCAAACAGCUUCGUCCUUGUGACCCGAGACUGGCUCCGGUCCUGGAAAGAGUCCGGCUGUGGAGACGCCUCCAGGACGCUCGGCGUCGCUGCCUGGACUCAGCGCUGGAAGCGGGAGAAUGAGCGCAUCCUGCCGUUCACAGAAAUUUGCCUUUUGAUCACAACCAUCCGAGACUCAAUAAGACAGUGACAGUGUCCGUUUCCUGUUUGUUUGCCUUAAAGCUUUUCCAGCAUAAACCAGGAUUUUCUCCUGAAGCCCAACCUUUUUUAGGACAUAUCUACAGUGAAACAAUCAAACUGGGGGCAAAGGGGAAAGUUCCACUGUUCCACACCGACGCUCACAGAGGCUCUGGGGAGAUCUGGCUCGAACAAAGGAUCAGGUUCCCCUGAUCCAUGAAGAGUGAUCCACCUCAAACAAACGCAGGGAGCUGUUUAAACGGCUAAAUGACAGCGCUACAUACUGUCUGUGCUGCACAGGGAGCUCAGCAUUAGGUGGAAAUCUUCACAGACACCUUCCAUGGCUGUUCUGUUACUCACUGAGUGCAAAUUAAAAUGCUUGUCAUUCGCGG